GGUUAAACGUCAUGACUUUGAGAUAAUUUGAAGCAUUUGGAAUCCAAGUUUGUUUCUUCUUUUAAUCUAGGUACAUUUGCUGGCAUCUCCUGAUGUUCUGUCUUUCCAUAGUUAAAAUUUGGGCUGAGCUUUAAGGAAAUUAAGGAAAGACUACUUUCACCUUUUGAGGCUCCCACUGUUCUGAUAGGCAAGCUUGAAUAGCUAGGCUACAGGACAGCGCAUUUUUCAUUUUCCCAUUUGGGACCAGAAUUGCAGCCUAUAUGCAAUUACCAAGACUAGUCUCUGAGGCAGUAGUCUCUGACCAUCCACUUCAACUGCACUCCUGCAUGAUGCCCUUACAUUUCUGUUGUCUGUGUUGAGGAAAAUCUGGGACAUGAACGCAUGUGGUAAACUACAGAACAAUAGUAAUAAAAUAGUUUUCAUUUGUGAAACCCUUCUUUGUUCUAGAAGCUGUACUCUAUAGUUUACAGGCCAUCUCCUUCAGUACUGUCAUCACCAAGAGGUGGAUAUUAUUGUCCCUUCCAUUUUACAAGUGAGAAAAUUGAGGCCAAGUUAGGUGGGUAGUUUAAUAUAAGACUCUGCCUCAGGAGAGGUAUGCAGGAUUAAAAAUAAAUUUAGAGGCCCAGCGUGGUGGCUCACACCUGUAAUCCCAGCUCUUUGAGAGGCCGAGGCAGGCGGAUCACAAGGUUAAGAGAUCAAGACCAUCCUGUCCAACAUGGUGAAACUCCAUCUCUACUAAAAAUAAAAAAAAUUAGCUGGGCAAGGUGGCACAUACCUGUAGUCCCAGCUACUCAGGAGGCUGAGGCAGGAGGAUCACUUGAAUUCGGGAGGCAGAGGUUGCAGUGAGCCGAUAUCAUGCCACUGCACUCCACCCUGGUGGCAGAGCGAGACUCCGUCUAAAAAAAAGAAAAAAGAAAAAAGAAAAAAACCAAAAAUGAAAACAAAAAAUAAAAAUAAAAAAAUAAAUUUAGAAACUCACAGCUCACAGCCCACACAGAUACCAUGGACUUUCACUUUCCAUGGUUGCAUCAGAAUAACAUAUGAAAUAGAAAGUGAAAGAACUAAAGACAGAACUUUGAGCAACAUCAAUAUUUAAGUGGCAGGAGGAGAUAGAUGAGUCAAUGAAGGUGACUACAAAGAAACAGUCACAUUAAAGAAGAACUGGAAGAAAAUGAAAAAGGAGCAGUGGUUUUCAAAAAGGGAGGAGAUGUCAACAAAUAUCACCAAACACCAGAGUAAUAACAUAAGGUCUAGAGAUGUCUUUUAUUCAAAUGUCCAUCAGUAGGAAAAUGUAUGAAUAAAAUGUGUUAUAUUUGCAUAUAUUUGACUAGUUAUUAUAUAGCAGUAAAAAUUAAUGAAAUCAAUUGACAUGCAACAGUAUGGAUGAAUCUUAGCAAUAUAACAUUAAUUGAAAACAGUUUCUAGGAGAAUUGUACAUAGUAUGAUACUCUUUUAAAAAAUGUUCAAAACUAAAAUAAAGGAGUGAUGAACAUAGCAUUUAAUAUAAUGAGUUACCUGGGUGAAGGGAGUAAGGGGAAUGAAAUGGUGGUUUGAGCAUAGUUAGGGGUAGGUUAUUUUUGAGGCCUUGACUUUUAUUUCAUUGCUAUAUUUUAAAAAUACUUUAUCAAAAUUAACUAAAGGUAAAUGGGCAUUGAAUGACCAAUAAUAAAUAUGGCAUGAACCAGGAUUAUGACUGACCUAAUUCUGUUCAUUGAAGGAACAAGAGAAAGGGCGAGAGAGUGGAGAGGAAAGGGAAAAAACAUGUCUCUUGGAUUGAGCAAGCUGGAAGUUAGUCACCAGUGUCCCUAAGCAACACUUUCAGAGGACUGCAGAAACAGAAGACAAUUUGCAAUGUAGAAAGUGUAAGUAGUGCCCAUGUUUUGAAAAGGUUGGUUGAGAAGUAAAAGGAGGAGGUAGAAUGUUGAAGGGGGAGUACGGAACAGCCCGGUGGCCUCUAGGCCAGACUUCCUGGGUCCGAUUCCUAGCUCUGACAUUAAUUAAUAAACUAGGUGACUUCAGGAAGGUUACUUGACUUCUCUGUGUCUCAGAUGUCUCAAAUAUGAAACUGAGAAAGGGAAUGUUUAAUAGUGUCACUGUGAAUAUUAAAUGAGUUGUGAAAAAAUUGGAACAAUACCUUAUGUGUUUGCUAGAUAAGCAUUGCUAGAGGAGAUGCAGAGUAAAGGAAGUUUUGUUUUGUUUUUUAAAUUUUAAAAUGAACGAUAUUGGAG
rnacentral:lncRNA from 1 species